rnacentral:rRNA from 1 species
GAUGAACGCUGGCGGCGUGCCUAAUACAUGCAAGUCGAGCGAACGGACGAGAAGCUUGCUUCUCUGACGUUAGCGGCGGACGGGUGAGUAACACGUGGAUAACCUCCCUAUAAGACUGGGAUAACUUCGGGAAACCGUAUCUAAUACCGGAUAAUAUUUUGAAGCGCAUGGUUCAAAAGUGAAAGACGGUGUUUGUGUCUCUUAUAGAUGGAUCCGCGCUGCAUGAGCUGGUUGGUAAGGUAACGGGUUACCACGGCAACGAUGCAUAGCCGAACUGAGAGGGUGAUCGGCCACAUGGGAACGGAGACACGGUCCAUACUCCUACGGGAGGCAGCAGUAGGGAAUCUUCCGCAAUGGGCGAAAGCCUGACGGAGCAACGCCGCGUGAGUGAUGAAGGUCUUCGGAUCGUAAAACUCUGUUAUUAGGGAAGAACAUAUGUGUAAGUAACUGUGCACAUCUUGACGGUACCUAAUCAGAAAGCCACGGCUAACUACGUG